GGGAGUCUGGCCGAGUGGUUAAGGCGCUGUGUUUAGGUCAUCCGCAAGGAAACCUUGAUUCCCGCAGUGGGAAACCGCGCAGGUUCGAAUCCUGCGGCUCUCAA
rnacentral:tRNA from 1 species